UUAAACUAUAAAAAUCACGAAUCGACUCUGUAUGCUUUGGACAUCAGAUUUGGGUGUAUUAUCACCCCGGUGUCCCGCGCGCUGGAAUAAAGAGCCGCAUAUGAUCGCCUCUGUGUGGUUAUAUGUUUUCCUACGCUAACAUUUUUGGCGACCCAGGACGGGACCUUGUGGGCGCAGCCAGGACCCCGCGACCCGAUCACGCUCCAGCCGGCACCGGGUGAUUUCUCGGGGAGCCCAUCGGAGCCGCGACCCUCGCCGCUCACAACGACCCCUGGUGAGAGCUCGGCUCCGAAGUGUUCUCGUGUGGAACAGACCACUGGCCCUGGAGAAUCCAGUCCACAAUAUCGAACCAGGAGAUGAGGUAUACAUCAAAACCUAGAACGAAGAACCACUAAAAGAGAAGUGGACUGGUCCCCAUCAGUAAUUUGGUCAGUUUACAGAAUCCUGAAGAGAGAGAUACAGAAAAAGGCAUCUUGGAACAGGACCAUAAUGAAGGCAUUGGCACGGAACCCAGCACCUUCAAUCCGCAACAACAUCCCGGACAAAGCCUAUGACAACAGAGGAUUUGAAGAUGAACAUCCAGUAUGAACUCUGAAGCCUAAUGGACUGUAUUAAGUGAAAGCAUUUACACUUAGUAUAUUAGAGUGAAAAUACUUUCAAAGGGGGGAAUGUUGGUGGAGGGUUAAAAAAUAUAAUUUCUAGAUUGAGUAAUGUAUAGGGGGAGGAAAGUAGAGAACGUACAACUGGAACUUGACGCAGCUAGCUGGGAACAAGCGUCAACAGCUCCAUGCUAUUGUUUUAACCAAAUCAAGUGUGGAUCAGGGUAGAAGCGUAGGUAUGAUUUAAGAUAGUAACUAAGGAAUAGGAUAAUCAGUAUCUAGGGGUGGGGGUUAGUUAACAUGUGUAUAAUUUAAACUAUAAAAAUCACGAAUCGACUCUGUAUGCUUUGGACAUCAGAUUUGGGUGUAUUAUCACCCCGGUGUCCCGCGCGCUGGAAUAAAGAACCGCAUAUGAUCGCC